CUUCAUCUUCCCAACUUCUAAACAUUUGGAGUGCUCCAAAACUCAGUCGCUGAUCUUGAUGCUCCUCUCACUUCUCUCUUCUGGGGAGGUGGGCCUAGUCUCUGCGCAGCUGACAUGAGGCAGAGGGGGAUGUACCCAACCAUCUACAAGCAGCGUCCACUUAAGGUCUUCUAAACCAUCUCUGACAAGCUUCAAGGGAGGCCCAUGCCUAUGGAAUAUCUCUUCAUCCACUCCAUGGGUUCAGCAGCUCUUUUCUGGACUUUGCAGCUCUAUCCUGUCUCUUUUGAGAAUUAAUCGAGGGAGCAAUAUACUAUAAUGGAUAACUUCAGGAUCCUUGCAGUUUGCAAGUCCAGAGACCAAGCACAGGCUCUGCCGUGGAAUUGCUCUGUGACCCGGGCCAAUGUGCUUCACUUUCCUGAGCCUAUUUCCUCAUCAGGAAAAUCAGAAGAGCAAUAGCAUACUCUUUAUCAGGUUGUUAUAAGAACUAAACAAAUGAAGACUUGUACCUGUUAGAACAGCAGCGGGUCCAUACAAACAUCAACAUGAUUAUCCAGAAACACAAACACAACCAGAUGAUUGAGUUUUUCUCUUCUUUACAUGAACGUUUGGCAACCACCAUCUCUGUGUUUGAUAGGAAUACAAUCCCAGGAUUUUUCUGACCCUAAGUAAAGUGCAGUUGAUUCCAUCUAGCCUUAAAAAAAAAAUUGUUCUAAUGUGUUGACCUUGCAUGUGCCAUAUGUAAGACCACAUAAUGCAUCUUACUGGAAGCCACGUUCAUUAUUUAUCAUUUGUUCAAUGCCCACUCUUGACCGGGCACUAUGUUAGGUAGUGAUAGCUCAAAGAAGAACAAACCAAAGCCUUUAUCCUCAGAAACCUUACAGUGUUCUUCCUAGUAUGCGCAUCGUUACUGUAAGCAUUGCCCUCUGUAUCAGUCAGUGUUUAAGUACUGUAACAAACAGUCCCAAUGUCUCAGUGG